CGCCUGGGCGGAAGUGAUUGCCAACAAGGUCAGUUCAGGAAAUGUGGUGUUCCGACUUGUCGUUCCGGGCUGGACAGGACGGAGGGGACUUCAACGGAUCUCACUUUAGGGAAGUACCGCGUUUGCACGGAGAACAGGGAUCUUCCCUGAGGGAUCUGGUUGCAGAAAGAGAAGCCCUGAGCUCUUCAGGAGUCCAUCCUCCAAAAAAGCGGCUGGGAGGGCUGCGCAGGUGCAGGAUCUUUUUGGCUACUGGUGUGAAGAACAAACUGAAGAAAGGCAAAGGUAGAGGCAGGGAGCCCAAUUAGGAGACAGUAGUCCAGAUAACACCUACUAAGAAGAUAGAAGACUUACUUUCAUCAUCUGAAUCAAAUCCAAAGAGUGUCUGACAUUUCUUUUGUGCAAGGUAUUCUUUUAAAUAUUUUAAGAAUUUAGGUCCGAGAUGGUGACGUAGGCAGACCCUGAACUCACCUCCUCCAGGGACACAACAAAUCUGCACCUACACAGAGAGCAAUUCCUCCUGAAGAACUGAGGACUGACUGAACAGCUGAACAACAAAAGGGUCCCAAAAGAAUGAAGAAAUAAUACCUUAAAACUUUCCCAACCUGGGGAAGGAAAGAGACAUCCAGGCUCAGGAGCACAGAGAAUUUGGAUCAAGAUGAACCCAAGGAGAUCCAUACCACUACACAUAAUAAUUAAAAUGUCAAAGAGGAAAGAUUUUAAAAAGUAUAGUUCCUUACCCAGCACUAUGAAAUUAAAAGCUCUGAGAAUAGGCAUGAAAACCUGCAUUACAUAACAAGCUUUCUGUGUGACCUUAUGCUUACUAAAGUUUUUAAAGAGUUACUUGAUAUCAGAAUGACAGAUUUUAAAUUCCUUAAGAUUGCUUAAUGCGUGUGCCAGUUUAUAAUUAUGUGUGUAUACGGUGGGGUUAGGGGGUGAUGCAUGGGACAGAAGAGUGCUAAAGUUUGACAGACCUGAUAGUCUGGGAACUGGUUAUGAAAAUGACAGUUUUCUGGAGAAUGGAGAGUGUGGCAAUCGAGACAACAGAGAGAAAGUAUAUGAAUAAACACUGAUGACUGAAAUGUCUUACGUUUAUGGUACCUGAUAGCUGUGGUCCAUGCUGUAAAUCGCUCUGUGAAAUCCUGUUAUGGUGAUAGUUUUCAAAAACUAUUAUGAGAAAUAAACUAGAUAGACGGAAACAUA